rnacentral:rRNA from 1 species
UUAAAUUGAAGAGUUUGAUCAUGGCUCAGAUUGAACGCUGGCGGCAGGCCUAACACAUGCAAGUCGAACGGUAACAGGAAGAAGCUUGCUUCUUUGCUGACGAGUGGCGGAUGGGUGAGUAAUGUCUGGGAA